GGGCCGGGAUCUGGUGAUCGCCUAGGUCUUGACAGCUUAAGGUCGCGGGUUCGAUUCCCGUCCGGUCCACCA
rnacentral:tRNA from 1 species